rnacentral:rRNA from 1 species
GACGAACGCUGGCGGCGUGCUUAACACAUGCAAGUCGAGCGAUGAAGCUUCUUCGGAAGUGGAUUAGCGGCGGACGGGUGAGUAACACGUGGGUAACCUGCCUCAUAGAGGGGAAUAGCCUUUCGAAAGGAAGAUUAAUACCGCAUAAGAUUGUAGUACCGCAUGGUACAGCAAUUAAAGGAGCAAUCCGCUAUGAGAUGGACCCGCGUCGCAUUAGCUAGUUGGUGAGGUAACGGCUCACCAAGGCGACGAUGCGUAGCCGACCUGAGAGGGUGAUCGGCCACAUUGGGACUGAGACACGGCCCAGACUCCUACGGGAGGCAGCAGUGGGGAAUAUUGCACAAUGGGGGAAACCCUGAUGCAGCAACGCCGCGUGAGUGAUGACGGUCUUCGGAUUGUAAAACUCUGUCUUUAGGGACGAUAAUGACGGUACCUAAGGAGGAAGCCACGGCUAACUACGUGCCAGCCGCCGCCGUAACAC